CACACAUGCAACAUGUUCUGUUGGCUAAGCAUCCUGUAUCCUUUCAUUUCUGUUUUGAGUUGAGAGCCAUUUGAAUGUAAUAACUUUUUCUGCAUUUAUUUCAACAUGCUUUUAUUACAGAACGAUUAUGAGCUUGAGGCUUAGGGAUGUCAGUUCCUGAUUGCACAUGGAAAAAUGGCUGCAGUUCACUCUAAGCACAUGUGUAUGUGUGUUUAUUCUCAAAGUACAGCAGUCCUGCAAAGAAGGCAACCAUCAGCUCUUUGUGGCAGAUACCUACCAGGAGGGCACACAAGGAGGACACAGGAGGCUUCAGGCUGCCAACACCCCAUCACAGGAGUAGGAAGCUUCUUUAGAUCAGCUACAGCAAGAGUCAUCUGCCUGGGCUGACCUGUGGACAGAAGGAAACUACUUCCUAGAGACCUGGAACAGCUUCCCCUGCACUAUCCAGUAGGAACGUAUUGUUAAUCCACCCUCCAUACAACGCUCUGGGUCUGCUGACCCCUGACUCCCAUCCUGCCCCUCCUCACCCCGCCUCUGCAACCACCGGUUUGUUUCCUAUGCUGUGAGUCUGCUUCUGGUUCAUAGUGACAUGCAAUAUCUUACUUCCUCAGCCAAAGUUUGAUCCCAUGCCCCUUGCAGUGGAAGCCAAGAAUGUUAACCACUGGAUUUCCAGGGAAGUCUUUAUGUCUUUAAAGUAGGAAGAGAAGGCACACAGGCAGAGUUACACAAAGACGACCACACAAAGACAGAGGCAAUGGCUGGAGUGAAGCUCUACAAGCUGAGGAAUGCCCAAGAUUGCUGGCAAUCAGAAAAGCUAGGAGGAAACAGCAAGAAGUACGCCCCCACCCCCGCCCCACCCCCUGCAAAGACUUCAGA